ACCAUUAAUGCAUCUUUUACUGAUGCCACCCUUAACAUCAGUGGUGAAUCCAACAUGGGCAUGAUAGGCAGAUGGGUGUUUCGUAUUGAUCAACCUAAGAUUGAGGCUCCAACUGUGAAUGCUUCCAGAUCGAUAAGUGAAAUUGCCAGAGAAUGUGCUGUCCCAGAUGGGAGUCUGUGCAUUGCUGACGGUAAUCCUGAAGGAUGCAGCUGCUCAGGUUCCCCUCUUGAGUGUACGUGCUCAGCGGGGUUCUUCGGCUUAAAC